ensembl:lncRNA
UUUCAGUGUUUAUCAUAGUUUUGUUCUUUAUUUAUUUGGCAAGCAACAUUUUCAUUUAAACAUGAAGUGCAUACAUUAGAUUGGUGUGUUGAGGCUGAGAACAGUGUGUGUGUGUGUGUGUGUGUGUGUGUGUGUAAAUGAGGGUGUGGCAGUGUUACAGCGCGCCCCGCUGGCACCGACACUGAACCGAUUCAACAUUGAUGAGAUCAUUUUACGCUUUUUUCAAAUUUUAAUUUUUUUUUAAACUCGUACUGGAAUGUUUCAUGCAGAAAAAAGUCUUGCAUACAAAUUUUACAGACGUAAAUAAAAACGAUUCAGAUCUCGGUGUCAUGCAGCUUUGUGUCCUCGCGUUAGAUUUUACACGGCUAACAUUAUUAGCAUUACACUCGGUACUUGAGUGGCUUUACACCCUUUAUAUCCACUGAGAGAACUGGCAGGAUGUAGCUUUAUGCUAAUCGCUAAAUGCUAGAUGCUAGCUGCUCCAGAUGUUUAUUAGUUGUUGGUUUUUUUUAGCUUAUUUGUGCUUCAUGACUUCACGCAAACCUGAAAACCCGAUUAAAGGGAUAGUUAAACCAUGGUCAAGGUCAAGCUAACACGGCUAGCAAUUAAUAAAGGCUCAUUAUGAACGGUUAUGCUAAACGACAACAUGCUAACUGGCAGUGCUAGCUGUCAUUUGUUUUAGCCUAUAAAGCUUUUACACACGACUGAGCUAACUGGACUGGACUGAGUUCAGCUACAUUAGCAUGCAUUAGCAUCAUGUUACUAGCAUUAGCAUUUGUUCGCCAUUUUUAGCCUUUGCUAACGUUUCACAAGGUUGAAAUAUCCCUUUAAGAUAAGAGGUAAAUGGACUGAGGCAGCUGCAUUAGCAUCGUGUUGUUAGCGGGUGCAUUUCUCGUCACAUUCCCUUUGCUAACAUUUCUGUUUGAUGUUGUUUAUUGUUUUUGUCAUUUAGUACACAUCAUGAUUAUAAUGAAAUAAUUAAUCCUACAGUCUUAUGCUAACAUGGCUAGUGAUUUUUAUUCAAGCUAAUUCACAAAGGUGAUGCUAGGUAAGUCGCAGUGUUAGCUUUUGUCCAUCGUUACCCUUGGUUUAAAGAUGAAGUGUCUCUUUAACAUGCAGCGUGAGGUUAGCUACAUUAGCAUCUCGUUGUUAGCGUUAGAAGUGAAGAUCGUUAACGUUUCUGAUGCUCAUUAACACUUCCGUACGCUUGCAUAUAAAUUCCGUAUGUGGAAAGAAAAGAAGAAAGAGUUCAGAUAAAUAUGUACAGCUCGUGUUAAUACAAUUCUACUGUGUGACUUAUACAUUUAUUCAUGCUGUGCUCUUAUAUUGGAUAUUAUAUAUUUAUUUUAUUUCAUUUAUUUAUUAGUCCGAGCCCCUGCUGUGCGUUCAGUCCGUACAUCUCUGUACCUCAGGGCACUAUUCAGGGCUCUUCGCUGAAAUGAAACGCUGCCAUGUGACGAUUCUGUGCAAAAACACGUCCGUGUGCUCGUCUGUUACAGCCUGGGAGGAAGGAGGGAUGGAUCUCAGGGACCAGGUGGAGAUAAAUCAGGUGGAGAUAAAAAAGGUGGAGAUCUUCUCCUUGGUGAAGGUAUAUCAACUGGAGACAAACCAGGUGAAGGUAAAUCAGGUGAAGGUCUUCUCCAUGGUGAAGCUUCAGAGAAUUUAUGGCCCUGAAAAUCAAUCCACGGUCAGACGGAUUAAUUUAUCAUGUACAAAUAGUUUAUUUGAUAAUUAUUAUAUGUAUUUUCA